AGAACGAACGCUGGCGGCGUGGAUAAGACAUGCAAGUCGAACGCGAUUUAUCGAGUUAGCAAUAACUUGGUAAAUUGAGUGGCGAAAGGGUGCGUAACACGUGGGAAUUUACCGAGAAGUGGGGAAUAGCUUGACGAAAGUCAAAUUAAUACCGCAUGUGAUCGAAAGAUCAAAGCCGGGGACCGCAAGGCCUGGCGCUUCUUGAGAAGCCCGCGGCCCAUCAGCUAGUUGGCGGGGUAAAAGCCCACCAAGGCUAUGACGGGUAGCUGGUCUGAGAGGACGACCAGCCACACUGGAACUGAGACACGGUCCAGACACCUACGGGUGGCAGCAGUCGAGAAUUUUUUCACAAUGGACGAAAGUCUGAUGGAGCGACGCCGCGUGGAGGAUGAAGGUUCUUGGAUUGUAAACUCCUGUCACUGCAGAACAAGGCUACGCAUAUGAAUAGUACGCGUAGUUGAUGGUAUGCGGAGAGGAAGGGACGGACGUAACGUCUGUGACCG
rnacentral:rRNA from 1 species